rnacentral:misc_RNA from 1 species
GAUGAAGAACGCAGCAAAAUGCGAUAAGUAAUGUGAAUUGCAGAAUUCAGUGAAUCAUCGAAUCUUUGAACGCACAUUGCGCCCGCCAGUAUUCUGGCGGGCAUGCCUGUCUGAGCGUCAUUUCAACCCUCAGCCCCCGCUCGCGGGGCGCUGGCGUUGGGGAUCGGCCGUCCUCGCGGCGGCCGGCCCCGAAACACAGUGGCGGUCUCUCGCGGACUCCCCUGCGUAGUAGCACUACCUCGCAGAAGGGACGAGCGGGCUGACCACGCCGUAAAACCCCCCACUUCUCCAGGUUGACCUCAGAUCAGGUAGGAAUACCCGCUGAACUUAAGCAUAUCAAUAAGCGGAGGA